rnacentral:rRNA from 1 species
CGUGUAGGCGGCUUUGCAAGUCGGGUGUGAAAGCCCUCGGCUCAACCGAGGAAGUGCGCCCGAAACUGCAGAGCUUGAGUGCCGGAGAGGAUGGCGGAAUUCCCCAAGUAGAGGUGAAAUUCGUAGAUAUGGGGAGGAACACCGGUGGCGAAGGCGGCCAUCUGGACGGUAACUGACGCUGAGACGCGAAAGCGUGGGGAGCAAACA